AAUCAUCAAACCCCUCCGGUUUCUGCCGGAGUGGGUUUGGACUUGGGGGCUUUUGCUGCCUUCUGGCGGCUCCCCUUAAACGAAUCGGUCGGGCUUUCGCGUGGCUUGUCCCUUGGCGUCGUAUCAACCUCGUCGCUGGAUGGCUCGCGAGUUUUGCGCCCCUCCAAGACCAGCCUCUGGAGCGGCGGUCAACUUCAAUUUUUG
rnacentral:misc_RNA from 1 species